rnacentral:sRNA from 1 species
UUGUACCCUGUGUAAUGUUUGUGCUGAAGGAGAUGCUUCCCAGCUACCAUAAGUGGCGCUACAACUCUCAUGGAGUGAGGGAACAGAUUGGUUGCCUGAUCUUGGAGCUGAUUCAUGCAAUACUGAACCUGUGCCACGAGACAGACCUGCACAGCAGUCAUACUCCCAGCCUGCAGUCUCUCUGCAUCUGCAGCCUGGCAUACACAGAAGCAGGACAGACAGUUAUCAAUAUCAUGGGCAUUGGCGUGGACACCAUUGACAUGGUGAUGGCUGCUCAGCCUCGAAGUGAUGGGGCAGAGGGCCAGGGGCAGGGCCAGCUGCUGAUCAAGACAGUGAAACUGGCAUUCUCCGUCACCAACAAUGUUAUUCGGCUGAAACCUCCUUCUAAUGUGGUGUCUCCCCUGGAACAGGCUCUCUCACAACAUGCCAAAUACAUCUACCACAAACAUGACCCUGCUUUGCCACGUCUUGCCAUUCAGCUGCUGAAACGUCUGGCCACGGUGGCCCCAAUGUCAGUGUAUGCUUGUCUGGGCA